rnacentral:rRNA from 1 species
GACGAACGCUGGCGGCGUGCCUAAUACAUGCAAGUCGAGCGAUGAAGAUUGGUGCUUGCACCAAUUUCAAGAGCAGCGAACGGGUGAGUAACGCGUGUGGAAUCUUCCUUUGAGCGGGGGACAACAUUUUGAAACGAAUGCUAAUACCGCAUAACAACUUUAAACAUAAGUUUUAAGUUUUAAAGAUGCCAUUUCAUCACUCAUAGAUUAUCCCGCGUUGUAUUAGCUAGUUGGUGAGGUAAAGGCUCACCAAGGCGAAGAUACAUAGUCGACCUGGGAGGGUGGUCGGCCACAAUGGGAAUGGGACAAGGCCCAAAAUCCUACGGGAGGCAGCAGUAGGGAAUCAUCGGAAAUGGACGGAAGUCUGACCGAACAACGCCGCGUGAGUGAAGAAGGUUUUCGGGUCGUAAAACUCUGUUGGUAGAGAAGAACGUUGGUGAGAGUGGAAAGCUCAUCAAGUGACGGUAACUACCCAGAAAGGGACGGCUAACUACGUG